AACGAACGCUGGCGGCGUGGAUAAGACAUGCAAGUCGAGCGAGAUUUUUCGUUGUAGCAAUACAGUGGGAAGUCUAGUGGCGAACGGGUGCUUAACACGUGGGCAAUCUGCCUUAAAGUGGGGGAUAGCUCGGCGAAAGCCGGAUUAAUACCGCAUGUGGCCAAGGAAGACAUCUUCCUGACGCUAAAGUCGGGGCAACCUGACGCUGUUCGAGGAGCCCGCGGCCUAUCAGCUAGUUGGUGGGGUAACGGCCCACCAAGGCUUUGACGGGUAGCUGGUCUGAGAGGACGACCAGCCACACUGGGACUGAGACACGGCCCAGACACCUACGGGUGGCAGCAGUCGAGAAUUUUUCUCAAUGGGGGCAACCCUGAAGGAGCGACGCCGCGUGGAGGAUGAAGGUCUUCGGAUUGUAAACUCCUGUCAUUGGGGAACAAUGUCCCGCCAUUAACUGUGGCGGGAUUGAUAGUACCCGAAGAGGAAGAGACGGCUAACUCUGUGCCAGCCGCCGCUGUAACAC
rnacentral:rRNA from 1 species